CCCGCUGAACUUAAGCAUAUCAAUAAGCGGAGGAAAAGAAACUAACAAGGAUUCCCCUAGUAACUGCGAGUGAAGCGGGAAAAGCUCAAAUUUAAAAUCUGGUGGCCUUUGGCCAUCCGAGUUGUAAUUUAGAGAAGCGUCUUCCGCGCUGGACCGUGCACAAGUCUCCUGGAAUGGAGCGUCGUAGAGGGUGAGAAUCCCGUCUUUGGCACGGACGCCCAGUGCUUCUGUGAUGCGCUCUCGAAGAGUCGAGUUGUUUGGGAAUGCAGCUCAAAAUGGGUGGUGAACUCCAUCUAAAGCUAAAUAUUGGCGAGAGACCGAUAGCGAACAAGUACCGUGAGGGAAAGAUGAAAAGCACUUUGGAAAGAGAGUGAAACAGUACGUGAAAUUGUUGAAAGGGAAACGCUUGAAGUCAGUCGCGUCGUCCGAGACUCAGCCUCGCCUCGGCUUGGUGUACUUCUCGGACGACGGGUCAGCAUCAAUUUUGCCCCUUGGAUAAUGGCGAGGGAAAUGUGACACCUUUGCGGGUGUGUUAUAGUCUCUAGUCGCAUGCAAGGGUCGGGAUUGAGGAACUCAGCACGCGCCUUCGGGCGUCGGGGUUCGCCCACGAUACGUGCUUAGGAUGUUGGCGUAAUGGCUUUAAACGACCCGUCUUGAAACACGG
rnacentral:rRNA from 1 species